GACAAAAGCAGGGGCCACAGCACUAGGGCAAGGAGGAAGUUUUGAGAACCAGGAGGAUCUUUUCUUCAUACCAGUUCCUACGUCAGAGUUGCUGACAUUGUUUCAGUCUGUGACUCUUCCAUUACUCCGUGCUACAGAGUGGGGAUGACAACAGGCCCCGCAGCUCUAGAAGGACAUGUGAAGUACAGUGACUGAGUUUGUCAAAAGUCCACAUUUCCCUACUUUGACAAGAUCUGGUGACUACUUGUAAGAACUUGGAGUUUCAGUUGUCGCCAAUGAGUCAUCAGCAGCAAACAGAGGCUGAGACGUGUUGCAGGAGAUAUAGGGGAGAGUGCUCCAAGUCAAGUGAUACCUCGUAUGACAUCACCAUCAAAUCCAGAAUGCUGACAUUUCUUGAGGCAGUUGUCCUGGUCUCUUCACAACAUCAUGAUCAAAAGAGACUGAGAUGCUAUGAACAAAUGCAAUACUUGUGUGAUUUAGCGUGUGUGGAACCCACAUUAAAUCAA